UUUGACGCAAAGUGCGGACAAGGUAACAAAAAAUCUCCUUUUCAUUUUUGAUUAACAAGGUAUACGUUACAAAGCCCUGAAGGCCAAGGAAAGAAGAACAAUACUACAAGACUUGAAAAGAAUACAUUAGAGACCGCUUCAAGCUUUCGACUUCUCCUUCCAGUUCCAUCUUUCUCAGCAGUAUUUCCCAGUACGUAUGAUGAACCCG
rnacentral:lncRNA from 1 species